rnacentral:rRNA from 1 species
UACGUAGGGGGCAAGCGUUGUCCGGAAUCAUUGGGCGUAAAGCGCGUGUAGGCGGCCAGAAAAGUCCGCUGUGAAAACUCGAGGCUCAACUUCGAGCUGUCGGUGGAAACUUUCUGGCUAGAGUCCGGAAGAGGAGAAUGGAAUUCCUGGUGUAGCGGUGAAAUGCGCAGAUAUCAGGAAGAACACCCGUGGCGAAGGCGGUUCUCUGGGUCGGUACUGACGCUGAGACGCGAAAGCGUGGGGAGCGAACAGG